AAAUAUUCCAUGAUAUAAAAUAAAUCCCAAAAUAAUCUCCCACUAAGUCAACAAAAUUUUCAGCUAAUUAAUAUUGGAAAAAUUCUACUUUGGCCCUCCUUCUUUGCUUCUUUCUUCAAUUUGGCCCAAUUGUUUCCUUUUUCUUCUAUUUAGCCUCAAAUUGCAUUCCUACACAAAAUUCAAUAUAAACAUGGGAAAAUUAGUGGUGCACUCUCAUAAAUUAACUAAUUUAAUUACAUAAAAUAUGUAACUUUAGCAUUUAAUCAGAUCUAAAUUCAGGGAGUUAGAGAUUCACAUUGGUUGUAAUUAAAGCAAGCCAUUAUACGCUUAUUUAAAAAGAAGACUUGUUUUAGUUUUAGAAAUGAGAUUAACGGAGCACAUUCCUUAUUCGGCGAGAACUUAUUUUAAUGCAAAUUUGUUGUGAGCAAAUUGUUCUUGUUAUUCAUUCUGUAACUAAGCAUUCAAUGGGAAAAUCUUAAUUAAAAUGGUAAAAGGUUCGAGUCUUACCAUACGAUUACGAUGUGUGGAUCUUCAAUUUCAACAUCGGCAUAUGUCAUCGCUAAAUUUUUUUUUCAAUUCUUUCCAGUUCUUCAUCCUUUGUACUUUAUACCGGUUUGACUCUAGAAUGCUAA
rnacentral:lncRNA from 1 species